GGCUCAAUGGUCUAGUCGUAUGAUUCCUGCUUUGGGUUAUUCACAACUGCAGGAGGUCCCGGGUUCAAAUCCCGGUUGAGCCC